rnacentral:rRNA from 1 species
GGCGGCGUGCUUAACACAUGCAAGUCGAGCGGUAAGGCCCUUCGGGGUACACGAGCGGCGAACGGGUGAGUAACACGUGGGUGAUCUGCCUCGUACUCUGGGAUAAGCCUGGGAAACUGGGUCUAAUACCGGAUAUGACCUCCCAAUGCAUGUUGGUGGGUGGAAAGAUUUAUCGGUGCGAGAUGGGCCCGCGGCCUAUCAGCUUGUUGGUGGGGUAAUGGCCUACCAAGGCGACGACGGGUAGCCGACCUGAGAGGGUGACCGGCCACACUGGGACUGAGACACGGCCCAGACUCCUACGGGAGGCAGCAGUGGGGAAUAUUGCACAAUGGGCGGAAGCCUGAUGCAGCGACGCCGCGUGCGGGAUGACGGCCUUCGGGUUGUAAACCGCUUUCGACAGGGACGAAGCGCAAGUGACGGUACCUGUAGAAGAAGCACCGGCCAACUACGUGCCAGCAGCCGCGGUAAUACGUAGGGUGCGAGCGUUGUCCGGAAUUACUGGGCGUAAAGAGCUUGUAGGCGGUUCGUCGCGUCGAUUGUGAAAACUUGCAGCUCAACUGCAAGCUUGCAGUCGAUACGGGCGGACUAGAGUACUUCAGGGGAGACUGGAAUUCCUGGUGUAGCGGUGAAAUGCGCAGAUAUCAGGAGGAACACCGGUGGCGAAGGCGGGUCUCUGGGAAGUAACUGACGCUGAGAAGCGAAAGCGUGGGUAGCGAACAGGAUUAGAUACCCUGGUAGUCCACGCCGUAAACGGUGGGUACUAGGUGUGGGUUUCCUUCCACGGGAUCCGUGCCGUAGCUAACGCAUUAAGUACCCCGCCUGGGGAGUACGGCCGC